rnacentral:rRNA from 1 species
UACGUAGGUCCCGAGCGUUGUCCGGAUUUAUUGGGCGUAAAGCGAGCGCAGGUGGUUUAAUAAGUCUGAUGUAAAAGGCAGUGGCUCAACCAUUGUGUGCAUUGGAAACUGUUAGACUUGAGUGCAGAAGAGGAUAGUGGAAUUCCAAGUGUAGCGGUGAAAUGCGUAGAGAUUUGGAGGAACACCAGUGGCGAAGGCGGCUAUCUGGCUGAUAACUGACGCUGAGGUGCGAGAGCGUGGGGAGCAAACAGG